ensembl:lncRNA
GAGCCUGGAGGCUGGAUCAUGUGACCUGGUUGCGGUAUACGGGAGGGAUUGAACGGCAACAACAUGGAGGGGCCUCCGUUCAGCUUCACACCCGAGCGGCACUGGACGGCGGAGAAAGAGAAGGAUCUCAUUGAGUUUUUCUCCAAGCACAGCUGCUUGUGGAACCACAAAUCCGAGAGCUACAAGAACCGCCAGCUCCGAUGGGAAACCCUGGAACGUCUGCGGGCCCUUCUGUCCGCGGCGCCGCCUCCCGCUCCGUUCACAGUGGACGACAUCAAGAACAAGUUCAAGAACCUGCGCACCACCUUUCAGCGGCAGUACAAAAUGGUGAAGGCCAGCGAGGCGGGCCGGUCCGACGACGCCUUCGCGCCGCAGUGGAAGCACUACGAGCAGCUGAUGUUCCUGCAGGGCUGCUGGGACCCGGACGGCGGCCCGGAAGAACGGCCGACCUCGCCGCGGAAGGAGGGCCGGACCGCCGGCUCCUCCCUUCCGCUGAUCGACCCCCGCCUCCCCGACGUGCCCACCUGCUCCUCGGCCUCCUGCGUGCCCCCCAGCGCGCCGGGGAAGUGCUUGUGGACUGAGGAGAGAGAGCGCGCACUGAUCGCUUUCUACUCUGAGCACCACUGCCUCUGGAAGAAGAGGUCCGAAAACCACAGCAACCGCCUGCUGCGGCUGCGGCUGCUGGAGGCUGUGAGGAGCCGGCUGUCCGACGACUCGGCGCCGUUCUCAAUUGAAGACGUGAAGUUCAAGUUUAAGAACCUCCGGACCAUUUUCAACCGGGAGUUCAAGGCGGUGCAGGCCAGCAGGGGGGCCGACAAGCUCCACCUGUCCAAAUGGAAACACUACCAGCAGCUGCUCUUCCUCUGCGAGUCCUGCGACGAAGACGAGGGCCCAGACGACGUGAAGGUACCGCCGCCCCGGGUAGACCAGGCCCUGGAUCUCAAAAACCACCCGCCCCCCUCCGCCCAGAUCAAGUUCGGGGACCCCGGCGGCAUCGAAGCCAACGGCGGCGCCGCCUACCAAGACUUCCUCCUCGCGUCUCCGGGUGACCUCAAGCAAGCGGACCCAGCGGCCGGCGCCACGUCCGGCGCCCCCCCGUCCUCUCCCCAGCAGGACGCCCAACCCGGUACCAGCCCCUGGCCCCUUCGCCCCCCCGGUUCGGUUCAGGCCGGCGGCAAGCGGAGCACCGACCCCCGCUGCCACUGGAGCGAGGCCAAAGUCCAGCGGCUCAUAUCGUUUUACUCCGAGCACAGCUGUCUGUGGAACCACAGGUCGGAGAACUACAAGAACCGGCUGUUGAGACAGAGCCAGUUGGAGGCGCUGAGCAGCAUGCUGUCCGACGACGGGUCGCCUCCCUUCUCAGCGGAGGACAUAAAGACGAAGUUCCGUAACCUGCGGACCAUCUUCCAGCGGGAGCACAAGGCGCUGAGCGGCUCGCAGGACCCCCACCUCCCCAAGUGGAAACACUACCGCCAGCUGGUGUUCCUCUGCGAGCGGCCCGAAGACCCCCACGCAGCGCCGGGCCUGGAACCCCCUCCCCCGCCCACCCCCCCGGCCUCCCAGCACUCCCCUCCCCCGUCCCCGUCCCCCGCCGACAGCCGAGUGUCGGGAGGACGCAAGCGGCCCUGCGGCGAGGUGCUGGACGCGGCGAGGACGCUGGGUCGGAGCCAGGCGCCGGCGCCGCACGCGGGCUUCCUGAAGUACGUGGAGGAGUGUCUCAACGAGACGCCGGCGGACAGAGUGAAGAAGCUGAAGAAGAUGAUCAUCGAGACGAUCCACAGCGCGUCGGAGGAGGCUUAGUGUGUCAACACCUGGUGUCUCCCACGGCCCACGAGGGUGCAGCUGAGGGUCAACACGCGUGAAGAGGUUCAGUUUGAGACAUGAUGAGGUUGUUUCCAAAGUCAGAACACACAGCUACACGUUUUAUUUCAGCCCUUGAUCGCAGAUUUACAGAGACAUUCUCCAUCGUUAACACGUUUUACAGAGAGACGGCAUCAGAAUGACAUCUUCUGUGUCUCAGUGGACCUGAUAAACUGCAUUUACGCCUCCGUCGUCAUCGCUUCAUCUUAGAACUUGCAGUACCAGUCAAAAGUGUGGACACGUUGUCUCUCAAUUCAAUGUGAGUACUUCUUCCAUUGGUUCUAUAGCGUCGGCACCUCAGCCACGUUCAAACAGAACCGAGGUCCCGCGUCAGGAUCCACAUUCAGCCCACAGAACAACACCAACAAUCCUAAUUGGCCUGGCGCUACGUACGUUUACCAUGUGUGCGUCAGCGUCUCCGCCGGAGCGCAUCGCCCUCUGACGAAGCAGAGGGUUGGACUAGUGGACACUUUGACCCAGGGGGACGGUUGGUCUCACGAGCUGCACCCGCUGGUGGCACCACCUUUCCCUGCACCGCCCGGCUGUGUGUCUCUGAGCGUCUCCGCUGGGAGGGACGCUGUCUUUUAUUAACUGGACCUGUGAACAUCUCAGCUUCGUUCCACGUCCCUAACGGAUGUUUUCUGUUUGUUUGUCAUGUGAUAGUUUAUAUUUCUACAAUAUGAAGGGCUGCAUUCGCCAUAACAUGUUAAGAAUUCUGUAACGUGUGCAGGUUUAUUACUAUUAUCUCAUUGUCGGCUGCUUGUGCAGCUGUAUAAAAUGUGUUAAGGGCUUUCAAGUACUUGUAUUUUAAAAAACAUUUACAUGUUUAAAAAUAAUAUGUUACAAAACAAGGUUUUUGUUCAAUUAAAAUGUUUGAAUUAAUAUUAUUUCUACCCUGUUUUUUUGCACAUUCACAUAAGAAUGAUUUGUCCAAGUGCAGAAAUGUGGACUUCAUAUGUGUGUCAUUAUUAAAUGUGUGACACAAAUGAGUGACAGUCUUUAUCAAACUUUUGAUUAAACAAGAUGUCUUCACUGUCACCAAUGUUUGGUUGUAAUAAACUAUUAUUUAAAUUUAAAGGUCACCUGAAUCCAUUUAAAAGCUCCAGUCAUAUUUCUUUUUCAAGUAUAAACUAUUGAGAAAUAUCGUGGACUUUAAAGGAAAGUGUGAACCUUCUGCCUUUAGAGUCCCGCCCACCCCUAGAUGGCGAACUUGGAUAACAACACAGUGGUCUUUGAAGACGGGUUAGAAGAUCAAAAAGGACCACAAAGACUGCAAACAUGAUAAGACCACAAAGAGACAAAGCAACACAAAAGGAAACGCCGAACAACAACGAAUAGACACAAAGCACAACGAGACGAAGCGCUACCGUGGACUCGUCCUCAAAUCCUCAGUAGCUCGGUGGUCCUGAGCGCUGGCAGCCGACCGGAUGUACGGGACCGACCUCUGAACCCAGGUGAAGGAAACCGCUGGAGCCCUCAAACCCUCCAACUACUCUGAAACAUCUAAUCAACUAUUGGAUGGAUUGACAUUCGUGGUCCCAGGUGAUCAAUCACGAUCACUUCGCUGACCUGCCAAAAAGGCUGAGACAUUUUGGUUGAAGUGGCAACAGGUGUUUAAGGGAGAGGCCCCGCCCCCCCGGCAUGGACCGCCUUCUUUCUGGUCACCCUCAAUACCCUCCGACCUCCACCUGCAGCGUGCUGCCCCAGGGCCGGACCAUGAUGCAUCAGCACUGAGGAACCUUUCCACACGUCUUCUUCUCCCCUUUCUAUCAGGUUCUCCCAUGUGUUCCUCUUGCCCUGUCUUACACCCUCCCCUCAUCCCUCCUUUCCUACCUCCUACCCCCUCCCUGGCCUCCCUCUCCUUCUCUUAACACCCCCUCCCUUCCCCGCUCUCUCCCUCUCUCUCUUUUCCCUCUUUUCUUUUCGCUCAGUGAGUCGCAGUAAAUCCUAUUGUGAUGCUAAACUGAUUUUCGGAAGACAGAGAGAGAGAGAGAGAGACAGAGAGAGAGAGAGAGAGAGAGACAGAGAGACAGAGAGAGAGAGAGAGACAGAGAGAGAGAGAGAGAGAGAGACAGAGAGACAGAGAGAGAGAGAGAGAGAGGAAGGAGAGAGACACAGAGACAGGGAGAGAGAGAGACACACAGGGAGACAGGGAGAGAGAGUUUGGAUCCCUGUUGGAGCUGCUCUCACGUCACAGUGUAACGCGUUCUCCUCUCGGUGAACUCGUUGACCCCGCCGGGCCGCGGGGGGUCUGCGGGGGUCUGUGGCGCCGCUGCGCGCGUGAGGAAUGCACUUUGCGGGACACGCGGACUCCGUCUCCCGUCGCCUCCCUCCACGCGCGUGACGGAAAUGCGCCGGUGAAGAAGGGACCGUUUUCGGCUGUGCGGUGCUCGACCCCUCCGUCACCGGGCGGAGGACUCACGCGGCCCGCGGGGGGGCGGUGAGCGAACCCCGUCCCCGGACAUGGAGAACGGGGUGCGGGCGGGCGGAGGAGGGGGCGGCCGGGUGCUGGUGGAGGCCCGGCUGCAGGGAGGAGCGCCGUGGGGCUUCACCCUGCAGGGCGGCCUGGAGCACGGAGAGCCGCUGAUCAUCUCCAAGGUACGGGACCGUCCUCGUGACGUCAUCGCGCGUCACGCGCAAAGUACUCACAUAUAUAGUAUGUAUACAGUAGUUUACAUUUUCUCAUUCAAUUCAAUGAGAAAGAGUGCCCACUUUUUACUGCUACUGUACAUGUAUAGAUCGAUAAUAUUACAAUAUAGUGUAAUAUUAUCGAUCUGGGGGAUCUUGUGUUUACAAUGUGGUCUAAUAAGGCAGCGGUUUCCAAACUGGGGGGCGCGGUUUCAUCGCGUUUUGUUUGAACGCGCCUCAGAGCGGCUCAGGUUACCGGCAGGAAGGUAACGAGUGGGGGGGAGAGAGAGAGAGAGGGGGGAGAGACACCAGCAUCAGGAAGGCCAAAAAGUCAGUGCAACGCCGACAAAAUAGUUUGAAAAACUUCCUGUUAACUUCAAUUUUAACAUUUGUAAGUUUACUUGAAACUAAGUUUACAAAAUGCAAUAAACUGAUACCAGGUUGAAACAUUCAGACAACUUUGGGCCAUUUGUCUUUCACCCUCAACCACAACUGAAAAGAACACCGUGUUACCGGCUGACGAGAUUGUUAAUCCAGGAAGUCGUUUGGAACACCACAAAGACGAGAGCCCACUUCCUUCCUUUUCAAACCUCAAACUGAUACACAGCGUGUUGUUCUUCCUCAACAAACCGUCUAUCGAUGAGAAUAAACAGUUCAGACUCAUUUAUGUUGUACAGAAUCUACUGCAUUCAAUCAAUGGUUGAAUAAUUAUUUCACCUGUUACGAAAUAAUGUGAAAUGGGGCCUAAAUAAAAUAUGGCACUUUCAAAGUGUGAUUUUUGAAAUCACUAACUACUCAGCCUGGACUACUGUUGUUAGGAAAGUGAUGAUGAUAUCCUGUUUGUCCCCAAAGCAAUGUGGCCUCAUUGUUAUUAGAAUGCAAAUGAGUAAGCUGGUUUGGGACAGAGGCCAAACUGCAUGCAGUAAAAUAGGACAAGAAUGUCAAUUAUGUGUUGUCCUUUUAAACAUGCUUGCGCUUUUAUUUUGUAACAUAAUCAGAUCAUUUCCAGCACAGUUCUCCAUGUUUCACCGCCAGCGCCCUUUUCUGUUUUUACCCUUUCUGUCUGUU